CGGCCCGGCUCGGAGGAGACGCCCGCGGAGCCCGUGAGCUUCUACACGCAGCCCUUCUCGCACUAUGGCCAGGCCCUGUGCGUGUCCUUCCCGCAGCCCUGCCGCGCCGCCGAGCGCCUCCAGGUGCUGCUCACCUACCGCGUCGGGGAGGGACCCGGGGUUUGCUGGUUGGCUCCUGAGCAGACAGCAGGAAAGAAGAAGCCCUUCGUGUACACCCAGGGCCAGGCUGUCCUAAACCGGGCCUUCUUCCCUUGCUUCGACACGCCUGCUGUUAAAUACAAGUAUUCAGCUCUUAUUGAGGAGCCGGGUGUGGGCUGAGCCCUGCCUGAUUGGUGCUGCCAAGGAGGAGUACAACGGGGUGAUAGAAGAAUUUUUGGCAACAGGAGAGAAGCUUUUUGGACCUUAUGUUUGGGGAAGGUGUGGUAUCACAUUGACUCCAGUGUCUCCUGUUAAACUGAGUCACUGGCUUCCAUUCUUCCUCUUCGUGUGGCUUUUCCACCUCCUGCCUCCCAGAGCAAAGUUUCCCUGAUCCCAGAAGUGAAGGAGAGGAGGAGGAGAGGAGGGUAUGACUUGCUCUUCAUGCCACCGUCCUUUCCAUUUGGAGGAAUGGAGAACCCUUGUCUGACCUUUGUCACCCCCUGCCUGCUAGCUGGGGACCGCUCCUUGGCAGAUGUCAUCAUCCAUGAGAUCUCCCACAGUUGGUUUGGGAACCUGGUCACCAACGCCAACUGGGGUGAAUUCUGGCUCAAUGAAGGUUUCACCAUGUACGCCCAGAGAAGGAUCUCCACCAUCCUCUUUGGCGCUGCGUACACCUGCUUGGAGGCUGCAACGGGGCGGGCUCUGCUGCGUCAGCACAUGGACAUCACUGGAGAGGAAAACCCACUCAACAAGCUCCGCGUGAAGAUUGAACCAGGCGUUGACCCGGACGACACCUAUAAUGAGACCCCCUACGAGAAAGGUUUCUGCUUUGUCUCAUACCUGGCCCACUUGGUGGGUGAUCAGGAUCAGUUUGACAGUUUUCUCAAGGCCUAUGUGCAUGAAUUCAAAUUCCGAAGCAUCUUAGCCGAUGACUUUCUGGACUUCUACUUGGAAUAUUUCCCUGAGCUUAAGAAAAAGAGAGUGGAUAUCAUUCCAGGUUUUGAGUUUGAUCGAUGGCUGAAUACCCCUGGCUGGCCCCCGUACCUCCCUGAUCUCUCCCCUGGGGACUCACUCAUGAAGCCUGCUGAAGAGCUAGCCCAACUGUGGGCAGCCGAGGAGCUGGACUUGAAGGCCAUUGAAGCCGUGGCCAUCUCUCCCUGGAAGACCUACCAGCUGGUCUACUUCCUGGAUAAGAUCCUCCAGAAAUCCCCUCUCCCUCCUGGGAAUGUGAAAAAACUUGGAGAGACAUACCCAAGUAUCUCAAAUGCCCGGAAUGCAGAGCUCCGGCUGCGAUGGGGCCAAAUCGUCCUUAAGAACGACCACCAGGAAGAUUUCUGGAAAGUGAAGGAGUUCCUGCAUAACCAGGGGAAGCAGAAGUAUACACUUCCGCUGUAUCACGCAAUGAUGGGUGGCAGUGAGGUGGCCCAGACCCUCGCCAAGGAGACUUUUGCAUCCACCGCCUCCCAGCUCCACAGCAAUGUUGUCAACUAUGUCCAGCAGAUCGUGGCACCCAAGGGCAGUUAGAGGCUCGUGUGCAUGGCCCCUGCCUCUUCAGGCUCUCCAGGCUUUCAGAAUAAUUGUUUGUUCCCAAAUUCCUGUUCCCUGAUCAACUUCCUGGAGUUUAUAUCCCCUCAGGAUAAUCUAUUCUCUAGCUUAGGUAUCUGUGACUCUUGGGCCUCUGCUCUGGUGGGAACUUAACUUCUCUAUAGCCCACUGAGUCCUGAGACAGAGAACCUGCCCACAGCUCUCCCCGCUACAGGCUGCAGGCACUGCAGGGCAGCGGGUCUUCUCCUCCCCACCUAAGUCUCUGGGAAGAAGUGGAGAGGACUGAUUCUCUUCUUUUUUCUCUUUCUGUCCUUUUUCUUGCUGAUUUUAUGCAAAGGGCUGGCAUUCUGAUUGUUCUUUUUUCGGGUUUAAUCCUUAUUUUAAUAAAGUUUUCAAGCAAAAAUUAAGUUA
rnacentral:sRNA from 1 species